ACAAGCUACUAAGGGCAGUCGGUGGAUGCCUAGGCAUCAAGAGCCGAUGAAGGACGUUGUAACCUGCGAUAAGCCCCGGGGAGCUGGUAAACGAGCUUCGAUCCGGGGAUCUCCGAAUAGGGAAACCUCGAAAGAAACCGGAGUAAUGUCCGGCGACCUCUACCUGAACACAUAGGGUAGUUGGAGGGAACGUGGGGAAGUGAAACAUCUCAGUACCCACAGGAAAAGAAAACAACCGUGAUUCCGUAAGUAGUGGCGAGCGAACGCGGAAGAGGCCAAACCCCGCAUGUGUGAUAGCUAACAGGCGUUGCAUGCUGGGUGUUGUGGGGCCGCUCCGACCGGGCUGUUAACCGGUCAGGGAGUCAAAAAAGAUCAAUGAAGUCGAAGGACUCUGGGAAGUUCCGGCAAAGAAGGUAACACCCCUGUAGACGUAAGUUGAUCUCUCCCGAGCGUCACCCCAAGUAAUGCGGAACCCCUGAAAUUCCGCAUGAAUCUGGCGGGACCACCCGUUAAGCCUAAAUACUCCUUGAUGACCGAUAGCGGACAAGUACCGUGAGGGAAAGGUGAAAAGUACCCCGGGAGGGGAGUGAAAUAGUACCUGAAACCGAUUGCCUACAAUCCGUCGGAGCCCUUCGGGGUGACGGCGUGCCUUUUGAAGAAUGAGCCUGCGAGUUAGUGGUACGUGGCGAGGUUAACCCGUGUGGGGAAGCCGUAGCGAAAGCAAGUCCGAAUAGGGCGACAUAGUCGCGUGCUCUAGACCCGAAGCGAAGUGAUCUAUCCAUGGCCAGGGUGAAGCGACGGUAAGACGUCGUGGAGGCCCGAACCCACUUGGGUUGAAAACCGAGGGGAUGAGCUGUGGAUAGGGGUGAAAGGCCAAUCAAACUUCGUGAUAGCUGGUUCUCCCCGAAAUGCAUAUAGGUGCAGCGUCGCGUGUUUCUUACCGGAGGUAGAGCACUGGAUGGUCUAGGGGGCCCACAAGCUUACCGAAAUCAGCCAAACUCCGAAUGCCGGUAAGUGAGAGCGCGGCAGUGAGACUGUGGGGGAUAAGCUUCAUAGUCGAAAGGGAAACAGCCCAGAUCAUCAGCUAAGGCCCCUAAGAGAUUGCUAAGUGGAAAAGGAUGUGGAGUUGCAGUGACAACCAGGAGGUUGGCUUGGAAGCAGCCACCCUUGAAAGAGUGCGUAAUAGCUCACUGGUCAAGUGAUUCUGCGCCGACAAUGUAGCGGGGCUCAAGCAAUCCGCCGAAGCUGUGGCAUUCGCAUGAUAACCAGGCCUUCGUGGUCCAGGUGUGCGGAUGGGUAGGGGAGCGUCGUGUGCGCUGUGAAGCGGCGGGGUGACCCAGCCGUGGAGAGCACACGAGUGAGAAUGCAGGCAUGAGUAGCGAAUGACGGGUGAGAAACCCGUCCGCCGAAUAUCCAAGGGUUCCAGGGUCAAGCUAAUCUGCCCUGGGUAAGUCGGGACCUAAGGCGAGGCCGACAGGCGUAGUCGAUGGACAACGGGUUGAUAUUCCCGUACCGGCGAAACAACGACCCUGCCGAGGCGAGUAAUGCUAAACACGCAAGAGAUCAGGAGGACUUCGGUCUGAGUGAUCUUGAGUCUGUGACCCAAACUUGUAUUAGGCAAGCUGCGGAGGGACGCAGGAAGGUAGCCCAUCCCGGGUAAUGGUAUUCCGGGCUAAGUGCGUAGGGUGAGAUGUAGGCAAAUCCGCAUCUCGUGAAGCCUGAGACACGAUGGCGAUAAAAAGUGGGUGAUCCUAUGCUGCCUAGAAAAUCUUCGUGAGCGAGUUGUUAGCCGCCCGUACCCUAAACCGACACAGGUGGAUAGGUAGAGAAUACCAAGGCGAUCGAGAGAAUCGUGGUGAAGGAACUCGGCAAAAUACCCCCGUAACUUCGGGAUAAGGGGGACCUGAUGUGUCAAGGCACUAGCUGUCGAAAGCACUGAGGGUCGCAGAGACCAGGCCCAAGCGACUGUUUACUAAAAACACAGGUCCGUGCCAAGUUGAAAGACGAUGUAUACGGACUGACUCCUGCCCGGUGCUGGAAGGUUAAGGGGAAGUGUUAGAGCAAGCGAAGCACCGAACUUAAGCCCCAGUAAACGGCGGUGGUAACUAUAACCAUCCUAAGGUAGCGAAAUUCCUUGUCGGGUAAGUUCCGACCUGCACGAAUGGAGUAACGAUUUGGGCGCUGUCUCCACCACGAACUCGGCGAAAUUGCACUACGAGUAAAGAUGCUCGUUACGCGCAGCAGGACGGAAAGACCCCGGGACCUUUACUAUAGUUUGGUAUUGGUGAUCGGUACAGCUUGUGUAGGAUAGGUGGGAGACUUUGAAGCAGGGACGCCAGUUCUUGUGGAGUCAUCGUUGAAAUACCACUCUGGCUGUUCUGGUUAUCUAACCUAGGUCCAUUAUCUGGAUCAGGGACAGUGCCUGAUGGGUAGUUUGACUGGGGCGGUCGCCUCCCAAA
rnacentral:rRNA from 1 species